rnacentral:rRNA from 1 species
GACGAACGCUGGCGGCGUGCUUAACACAUGCAAGUCGUACGGUAAGGCCCUUUCGGGGGUCCACGAGUGGCGAACGGGUGAGUAACACGUGAGUAACCUGCCCACAACUUUGGGAUAACGCUAGGAAACUGGUGCUAAUACUGGAUAUGUGCCCCUGCUGCAUGGUGGGGGUUGGAAAGCUCCGGCGGUUGUGGAUGGACUCGCGGCCUAUCAGCUUGUUGGUGGGGUAGUGGCCUACCAAGGCGGCGACGGGUAGCCGGCCUGAGAGGGUGACCGGCCACAUUGGGACUGAGAUACGGCCCAGACUCCUACGGGAGGCAGCAGUGGGGAAUAUUGCACAAGGGGCGCAAGCCUGAUGCAGCAACGCCGCGGGCGGGAUGACGGCCUUCGGGUUGUAAACCGCUUUCAGCAGGGACGAAGCUUUUUGUGACGGUACCUGCAGAAGAAGCACCGGCUAACUACGUG